rnacentral:rRNA from 1 species
GACGAACGCUGGCGGCGUGCCUAAUACAUGCAAGUAGAACGCUGAAGAGAGGAGCUUGCUCUUCUUGGAUGAGUUGCGAACGGGUGAGUAACGCGUAUGGAACCUGCCUUGUAGCGGGGGAUAACUAUUUGAAACGAUAGCUAAUACCGCAUAACAAUGGAUGACAUAUGUCAUUUAUUUGAAAGGGGCAAUUGCUCCACUACAAGAUGGACCUGCGUUGUAUUAGCUAGUAGGUGAGGUAAUGGCUCACCUAGGCGACGAUACAUAGCCGACCUGAGAGGGUGAUCGGCCACACUGGGACUGAGACACGGCCCAGACUCCUACGGGAGGCAGCAGUAGGGAAUCUUAGGAAAUGGGGGAAACACUGACCGAGUAACGCCGCGUGAGUGAAGAAGGUUUUCGGAUCGUAAAGCUCUGUUGUAAGUCAAGAACGGGUGUGAGAGUGGAAAGUUCACACUGUGACGGUAGCUUACCAGAAAGGGACGGCUAACUACGUG